CUGCAAGCUAUCAAAUCUGGGUCUUAUUUUGUUGAGUCGAAAGUGAAAUUUUCCUUCGGCCAACGUGACAGGUAAGGGAGUUCCCACCCUGGGAGGAUUCGUUUGGUUUUUCGGUUUAGAAGCACGAGCUUUUUGGCCUUGUGAGGUCCCAUAAAUUGCAUUUCUUUACAGGGCUUUGUUUGGUGGUAAAAAGGGUGCUAGAGACCCCUCAUUCCACUGCCACUGGAGGGCGCGUUUCUCAGCUCUUGCUAUUCAAACCUGCUAAAAGGAAUUCCUAGAUCGAAGCACCCCGCACACCGCUAAUUUUCAAGUGUUGUAAGGAAGCAUCCCAUCGCAACCUGCAUUUAGCUUAAAGAAAUCAGAAAUUAGAAAUAUUUUUUUUGUUAAGUGUCAGUUUGGCAGCGAGGAACCAUGUUUUAUUAGCGCAAUCUUUUCAGUGUUUUUUAAACAUGCAAAAAUGUCAUCUUUCCAAAUCAGAAAAAUGCCUAGUCUGUGAGGUUUCCAGGUACACGUUUCUGGAAUGAUCUUGUAAAUUUCUUGAGACGAGAAAGCUCAGUCAACUAAUUGACUCAUGCACUUCUUCACUUGGAUUCCCUACAGGUCUCAAAUGCAACAUUUAAUAUUGAACUCGUCAUUUUCCCCAGCCUCCCUUAAAGAAAAAUAACAAAAACCAAUUCGCUUCUACUGCGUUGCCCUGCCAUAUUCAGUAGUACUACUGUCUAAAUAAUUGCCUAAGCCAGAAGAAAGAAACCGGGAGAAAAGACUUUGGCUUUCCACCCCCACAUGUCCAAUCAGUUAGUCAGGUGUAAGAUUUCUAUUUAUAAAAUAUUUCUCAAAUAGGUCCUCUGCUCUUGGUCCGCUCUGCCUCUGACUGUUUAUAUUCUUCUCGUCAUUUCUCGCUGAGAUUACAGCAAUAGCCUCCUAACUAGUUUGUCUGCAUUCAGCCCUGGCUUUCCUCCAGUGCACUCUCCAGUCUACCAAACAUCUGUCCGUGUCAGUCCUCUUCUUAAAAUCCUCCAGUGGUUUCUCAUUUUCUGUAAUAAAAUCCAAACUCCUUAGUUGGGUAUACAGGCCUGUUAGGAUCUGACUCCUGCCUACUUUUCCAUCUCCUGCCUCCCCCAUGUAUCCUAGGCUUUUUUUCUCUUGUCUCAGUAUGCCCUUCCCCUUUGUCCUCUUAAUUAGGCAAAUGCCUGUUAAUUCUUUAAGCCUCAACUCUAGCAUCAUGUCCUGAAAGCUUCCUUGAAACCUGAAUGCAUAUGUACAUGCUCACAUCUUAAUACAUGGUGGGUACUCAAUAAAAAAAUUGUUAAAUCAAACUGUUAAUGGCCAGACCAUGUUAUCCAUUUUUAUAUCUCUGUUGCUUAACACUGUCUUAUAAAAGGUGGCAUUAAUGGAUAAAUGAAUAAAUCAUCAAAAGAGUAUAUGAAUAUUAUGCUGAGAAAGAGGGUCUUUUUUUGUUGUUUGUUCAUAAUCUGUGAAGUGGAAUUGUAGAGAAUACACACCAUAAAGGUUAUGGUGAACGUUUAAUUUUUUAGUGCUAAGGUUUUUCACCUGGGAGACUUUGAAAAAUGGUAGGGGAAGACUGCCCAAGAUGGGCUAGGGUUGUAGCUCAGUGGUAGAGUGCUUGCCUAGCAUGUGUGAGGCACUGGGUUCUAAUCCUCAGCACCACAUAAAAACAAAUAAAUAAAAUAAAGAUUAAAUGCCUUAAAAAAUUAGAAAAAGAAAGACUGCCCAAGAUACUGUAUGCUAUCCUGCAGUUUAAAACUAGAAUCUGACAUUUCGCUUCAGACAUUUUCCAUGGGGUAUUUUAUUGCACCCUAAAAAGAGUAACCAAUAAAUGCUCAGCAUUUUUAAUAUCAAGUAGUAUGUACAAAGAACCUCACCCAGUUUCUAAGCCUUACCCAUCCCUGAGCCUGACUGCACCCCAUCAUCAGGGAUGAACUCUUUAGAUGGAGGGACACUCAGAAGUAUCUAUUCCUCCUAUUAUUUGGUAAUAAAACACAGUACCUAGACAAUUUAGCAGAGUUGUUUUAAGGUACCAGCCUUGUCAAAAUAUCCUAUUUUGUUUUAAACUUUGGUGAGUAUAGUAGUAACAGCUUAUUAUGACUUUUUCUUCAUUUGACCCAUUUUUUUACCCUAACGUAACAGCAUCCCCUGAGCAGGAGGGACUACGGGCAGAAGCAACGAACAAUUAGGUACAGAGGUGAUGAAAUUGGAGCCACCCAAAAUCCCCUGGCAGCACUCAGUCUGGGUUUUAAGAACUGGUGGAUCUGCUCUCUACUGGCCUCAAGAAGAGGCAGAGAGGGUACAAUGUCUAAUUUGUCCCCCAAUUAAGGUCUGAAAGGGAAAUGAAGCAUCACUACUAAUGGACAAGCAUGAAAUGGACUCCUUACUUAACAGGAAGAAUGUUACAUAUUAAUCCACUUGCACUGGUUUUAUAGUGGAAACCACAUCUUAUUUUGUUUGUUUUCUUUCAUUAUCUGACAUAAUUCUUAACAUGGUAAUUGCUCAAGAACCAUUUGUUAAAUAAAGGACGAUAUGAAAAAGUUGUGACUGUCUGACAUACACUAUUAUACUUCUGACUUUCAUAAAUCUAAGCAUUCAAGAUAUAUUGCCAUGAAUCAUUACAAUAUACAUAAUCCAAAAUUUUGAGAAAAUAAUGAUUUUCCUUUUCCCAAACCAAAAC
rnacentral:lncRNA from 1 species